rnacentral:tRNA from 1 species
AGCAAGGUGGCAGAAAAGUGCCUCAGAUUUAAGCUCUGACCAUGAAGUUUUAACUUCCCUUUCUA